rnacentral:ncRNA from 1 species
AUGAAUGCUUUGAAAAGAAGAGUACAUGUUCUUGACGUACACAGAGAGCCCUGUUUGGUGUAAAUGGGCAACGAAGAGAAGAUGGAAGAUGGUCUUUGAGCAGGAUGGGUGAGUCUAAGGACAAGCCUAUCACGGGAUGCACCCGUUACUGUGCAACAGUAUGCGAAGAAAUUCAAGUACUGGAAGAGGCUGUUGAUGCGAGUCGACAGUAAAUCAAGGUGGUAACACGGAAGUUGUGCUUUCGUCCUUUGU